UGCAGUCGAGCGAUGGAUUAAGAGCUUGCUCUUAUGAAGUUAGCGGCGGACGGGUGAGUAACACGUGGGUAACCUGCCCAUAAGACUGGGAUAACUCCGGGAAACCGGGGCUAAUACCGGAUAAYAUUUUGAACYGCAUGGUUCGAAAUUGAAAGGCGGCUUCGGCUGUCACUUAUGGAUGGACCCGCGUCGCAUUAGCUAGUUGGUGAGGUAACGGCUCACCAAGGCAACGAUGCGUAGCCGACCUGAGAGGGUGAUCGGCCACACUGGGACUG
rnacentral:rRNA from 1 species